UGCAGUCGAACGGUAGCAGGAAGUGCUUGCACUUUGCUGACGAGUGGCGGACGGGUGAGUAAUACUUAGGAACAUGCCUUUGUGUGGGGGAUAACCAUUGGAAACGAUGGCUAAUACCGCAUAAUGUCUUUGGACCAAAGAGGGCUUUCGGGCUCUCGCGCAAAGAGUGGCCUAAGUGAGAUUAGCUUGUUGGUGAGGUAAAGGCUCACCAAGGCGACGAUCUCUAGCUGUUCUGAGAGGAAGAUCAGCCACACUGGGACUGAGACACGGCCCAGACUCCUACGGGAGGCAGCAGUGGGGAAUAUUGCACAAUGGGGGCAACCCUGAUGCAGCCAUGCCGCGUGUGUGAAGAAGGCCUUCGGGUUGUAAAACACUUUCAGUUGUGAGGAAAGGUUGAUGGUUAAUACCCAUCAGCUGUGACGUUAGCAACAGAAGAAGCACCGGCUAACUCCGUGCCAGCAGCCGCGGUAAUACGGAGGGUGCGAGCGUUAAUCGGAAUUACUGGGCGUAAAGCGCACGCAGGCGGUUAUAUAAGCUAGAUGUGAAAGCCCCGGGCUCAACCUGGGAAUAGCAUUUAGAACUGUAUGACUAGAGUCUUGGAGAGGGGAGUGGAAUUCCAGGUGUAGCG
rnacentral:rRNA from 1 species